UACGGAGGGUGCAAACGUUGCUCGGAAUCAUUGGGCGUAAAGCGCGUGUAGGUGGCCGGGCCAGUCGGGCGUGAAAGCCCUGGGCUUAACCCAGGAAGUGCGCCUGAUACUGCUCGGCUCGAGUACGGGAGAGGGUAGCGGAAUUCCCGGUGUAGAGGUGAAAUGCGCAGAUAUUAGGAAGAACACCGGUGGCGAAGGCGGCUCUCUGGAACGAUACUGACACUGAGACGCGAAAGCGUGGGUAGCGAACAGG
rnacentral:rRNA from 1 species